UUCGCACUGCGAUAUACCAGGGGAUGUUAGCCGAAGGCGGACUCAUUAGGGAAGACGCUGUGAAGUCUUUUGAGGCCUGCGGAAAAAAUCUGCUCCCCGCUGACCAGGACGAGAUGCUGGUAUUGGUAACAUUCCUCAAAGACUUCGUUACCGGAUGAGAAAUAAAAAGUUGCAUCCUACA